GACGAACGCUGGCGGCGUGCUUAACACAUGCAAGUCGAACGGAAAGGCCCUGCUUUUGUGGGGUGCUCGAGUGGCGAACGGGUGAGUAACACGUGAGUAACCUGCCCUUGACUUUGGGAUAACUUCAGGAAACUGGGGCUAAUACCGGAUAGGAGCUCCUGCUGCAUGGUGGGGGUUGGAAAGUUUCGGCGGUUGGGGAUGGACUCGCGGCUUAUCAGCUUGUUGGUGGGGUAGUGGCUUACCAAGGCUUUGACGGGUAGCCGGCCUGAGAGGGUGACAGGCCACAUUGGGAUUGAGAUACGGCCCAGACUCCUACGGGAGGCAGCAGUGGGGAACAGUGCACAAAGGGCGGAAGCCUGAUGCAGCAACGCCGCGUGCGGGAUGACGGCCUUCGGGGUGUAAACCGCUUGCGACUGUGACGAAGCGUGAGUGACGGUAAUGGGUAAAGAAGCACCGGCUAACUACGUG
rnacentral:rRNA from 1 species